CCUACGGGCGGCAGCAGUGAGGAAUAUUGGUCAAUGGGGGCAACCCUGACCCAGCCAUGCCGCGUGAGUGAAGAAGGUUUUCGGAUUUUAAACCUCUGUCCUCUGUGCAGAUAAUGACGGUAGCAGAGGAGGAAGCUCCUGCUAACUACGUGCCAGCAGCCGCGGUAAUACGUAGGGAGCAAGCGUGUUCCGGAUUUACUGGGUGUAAAGGGUGCGUAGGCGGCCUUGCAAGUCAGAAGUGAAAUCCAUGGGCUUAACCCGUGAACUGCUGUUGAAACUGGAGGGCUUGAGUGAAGUAGAGGCAGGCGGAAUGCCCGGUGUAGCGGUGAAAUGCGUAGAGAUCGCGAGGAACACCAGUGGCGAAGGCGGCCUGCUGGGCUUUAACUGACGCUGAGGCACGAAAGCGUGGGUAGCGAACAGGAUUAGAUACCCCUGUAGUC
rnacentral:rRNA from 1 species